CCCCCCCGACGGAACCCACCUUGUCGCGGUGGGGGGGGGGGCUCACGGGCUUACGGCCCGUGCAAAGCGGUUC
rnacentral:ribozyme from 1 species